rnacentral:rRNA from 1 species
GACGAACGCUGGCGGCGUGCUUAACACAUGCAAGUCGAACGGAAAGGCCCUGCUUGCAGGGUACUCGAGUGGCGAACGGGUGAGUAACACGUGGGUGAUCUGCCCUGCACUUCGGGAUAAGCCUGGGAAACUGGGUCUAAUACCGGAUAGGAGCCAUUUUUAGUGUGAUGGUUGGAAAGUUUUUUCGGUGUAGGAUGAGCUCGCGGCCUAUCAGCUUGUUGGUGGGGUAAUGGCCUACCAAGGCGGCGACGGGUAGCCGGCCUGAGAGGGUGGACGGCCACAUUGGGACUGAGAUACGGCCCAGACUCCUACGGGAGGCAGCAGUUGGGAAUAUUGCACAAUGGGAGCAAGCCCGAUGCAGCGACGCCGCGUGGGGGAUGACGGACUUCGGGUUGUAAACUCCUUUCGCUAGGGACGAAGCUUUUUGUGACGGUACCUAGAUAAGAAGCACCGGCUAACUACGUG